AACGAGAAUCUACUGAAGGAGGAUUCGUCCAACGGAAGUAGAGGAAAGUGGCGGACGGGUGAGUAACGCGUGAGGAACCUGCCUUGAAGAGGGGGACAACAGUUGGAAACGACUGCUAAUACCGCAUGAUGCAUAGGGGUCGCAUGAUCUUUAUGCCAAAGAUUUAUCGCUUCAAGAUGGCCUCGCGUCUGAUUAGCUGGUUGGCGGGGUAACGGCCCACCAAGGCGACGAUCAGUAGCCGGACUGAGAGGUUGAACGGCCACAUUGGGACUGAGAUACGGCCCAGACUCCUACGGGAGGCAGCAGUGGGGAAUAUUGGGCAAUGGGCGCAAGCCUGACCCAGCAACGCCGCGUGAAGGAAGAAGGCUUUCGGGUUGUAAACUUCUUUUAAGAGGGAAGAGCAGAAGACGGUACCUCUAGAAUAAGCCACGGCUAACUACGUGCCAGCAGCCGCGGUAAUACGUAGGUGGCAAGCGUUGUCCGGAUUUACUGGGUGUAAAGGGCGUGCAGCCGGGUCUGCAAGUCAGAUGUGAAAUCCAUGGGCUCAACCCAUGAAUUGCAUUUGAAACUGUAGAUCUUGAGUGUCGGAGGGGCAAUCGGAAUUCCUAGUGUAGCGGUGAAAUGCGUAGAUAUUAGGAGGAACACCAGUGGCGAAGGCGGAUUGCUGGACGAUAACUGACGGUGAGGCGCGAAAGUGUGGGGAGCAAACAGGAUUAGAUACCCUGGUAGUCCACACUGUAAACGAUGAAUACUAGGUGUGCGGGGACUGACCCCCUGCGUGCCGCAGUAAACACAAUAAGUAUUCCACCUGGGG
rnacentral:rRNA from 1 species